CGCGUAGGCGGUUUGCCAAGUCAGGGGUGAAAUCUUGCAGCUCAACUGCAAAAGUGCCUUUGAUACUGGUGAACUCGAGGGAGGUAGGGGUCGCUGGAACUUCUGGUGGAGCGGUGAAAUGCGUUGAUAUCAGAAGGAACGCCGGUGGCGAAAGCGAGCGACUGGAUCUCUACUGACGCUGAGGCGCGAAAGCCAGGGAGCAAACG
rnacentral:rRNA from 1 species